rnacentral:rRNA from 1 species
UACGUAGGGUCCGAGCGUUGUCCGGAAUUAUUGGGCGUAAAGAGCUCGUAGGCGGUCUGUCGCGUCUGCUGUGAAAACUCAGGGCUUAACCCUGAGCUUGCAGUGGGUACGGGCAGACUAGAGUGCGGUAGGGGAGACUGGAAUUCCUGGUGUAGCGGUGAAAUGCGCAGAUAUCAGGAGGAACACCGGUGGCGAAGGCGGGUCUCUGGGCCGUAACUGACGCUGGAGGAGCGAAAGCAUGGGGAGCGAACAGG